rnacentral:rRNA from 1 species
AGAGUUUGAUCCUGGCUCAGGACGAACGCUGGCGGCGUGCUUAACACAUGCAAGUCGAACGAGGCAGCGGCCUUCGGGCCGCUGUCGAGUGGCGAACGGGUGAGUAACACGUGAGGAACCUGCCCCGGAGACCGGGAUAACCAGGGGAAACCCUGGCUAAUACCGGAUGCCCUCGGAUGGUCGCAUGGCCGACCGAGGAAAUGCUCAGGUGCUCCGGGAGGGCCUCGCGGCCUAUCAGCUAGUUGGCGGGGUAACGGCCCACCAAGGCAUCGACGGGUAGCUGGUCUGAGAGGACGAUCAGCCACACUGGGACUGAGACACGGCCCAGACUCCUACGGGAGGCAGCAGUGGGGAAUAUUGCGCAAUGGGCGAAAGCCUGACGCACCAACGCCGCGUGGGGGAUGAAAUGCCUUCGGGUUGUAAACCCCUUUCAGCAGGACGAAAAUGACGGUACCUGCAAAAAAAGCCCCGCAACUACGUGCCAGCAGCCGCGUAACACGUAGGGGGCGAGCGUUGUUCCGGAUUUAUUGGGCGUAAAAAGCUCGUAGGCAGUUUCGUAAGUCGAUUUAAAACUCAGGGCUCACCGAAACCCCUUCCAAUACUGCCCUUGACUAGAGUCGGUAGGGGAGCAUGGAAUUCCUGGGGUAGCGGUGAAAUGCCAAAUUUCAGGAGGAAACCAGUAGCGAAGGCGGUGCUCUGGGCCGGUACUGACGCUGAGGAGCGAAAGCAUGGGUAGCAAACAGGAUUAGAUACCCUGGUAGUCCAUGCCGUAAACGUUGGGCACUAGGUGUGGGACCUACUUAACGGGUUCCGUGCCGUAGCUAACGCAUUAAGUGCCCCGCCUGGGGAGUACGGCCGCAAGGCUAAAACUCAAAGGAAUUGACGGGGGCCCGCACAAGCGGCGGAGCAUGUUGCUUAAUUCGAGGCAACGCGAAGAACCUUACCUGGGUUUGACAUGUAGGGAAAAGCCAUAGAGAUAUGGUUUCCUUUCAGGGACUUUGGGCAGGUGUUGUUUGGCAGUCGUCAGCUCGUGUCUUGAGAUGUUAGGGUAAAUUCCCGCAACGAGGGCAACCCUUGUCCUAUAUGCCAGCACGUAAAGGUGGGGACUAGUAGGAGACUGCCGCAGUCAACUCGGACGAAGGUGGUGACGACGUCAAGUCAUCAUGCCCCUUAUGCCCAGGGCUGCAAACAUGCUACAAUGGCCGGUACAAAGGGCUGCUACACCGCGAGGUUGAGCGAAUCCCACAAAGCCGGUCUCAGUUCGGAUUGGAGUCUGCAACUCGACUCCAUGAAGUCGGAGUCGCUAGUAAUCCCGGAUCAGCAAUGCCGGGGUGAAUACGUUCCCGGGCCUUGUACACACCGCCCGUCACACCACGAAAGUCGGCAACACCCGAAGUCAGUGGCCUAACCCUCCGGGGAAGGAGCUGCCGAGGGUGGGGUUGGCGAUUGGGGUGAAGUCGUAACAAGGUAGCCGUA